rnacentral:rRNA from 1 species
AUGGCGAGAGGGCCGCUGAACCUUUGGAACCACUGGGCGACCCAGAUCCUGCUUCUCCUGAGCCUCGCGCUCCAGAUCGUCCUCUCCGUCUUUGCCGGGAUCCGUCGGCGUCAAAGCUCCUCCAUGCCGAGGAUACUCCUUCGGCUGGCGUACCUCCUUGCCGACUCCACUGCCAUAUAUGCCAUUGGCCACCUAUCCCUCAGCAGCGCACCAUCCAACCACCACCUUGUCGCAUUCUGGUCGCCUUUCCUCCUGCUGCACCUUGGCGGACCAGACAACAUCACUGCCUAUGCUCUUCAGGACAAUCAGCUCUGGCUCCGGCACCUCCAAACCCUUGUUGUGCAGGUACUCGGAGCGGCCUAUGUCUUGUACUAA